rnacentral:rRNA from 1 species
CAUACCUAUUCGAAGGGAUAGGGUCGGUUUGGCCGGAUUUCACACAGGUGUUGCAUGGCUGUCGUCAGCUCGUGUCGUGAGAUGUUGGGUUAAGUCCCGCAACGAGCGCAACCCUCAUCCUUAGUUACCAUCAGGUUAUGCUGGGGACUUUAAGGAAACUGCCAGUGAUAAACUGGAGGAAGGUGGGGAUGAUGUCAAGUCAUUAUGGCCCUUAUGGAGUGGGCUACACACGUGCUACAAUGGUGAUUACAAUGGGCUGCAAGGUCGCAAGGCUGAGCUAAUCCUAAAAAAUCAUCUCAGUUCGGAUUGUUCUCUGCAACUCGAGAGCAUGAAGUUGGAAUCGCUAGUAAUCGUGGAUCAGCAUGCCACGGUGAAUACGUUCUCGGGUCUUGUACACACUGCCCGUCACGCCAUGGGAAUUGGUUUCACUCGAAGCU